ensembl:lncRNA
GACAUUGCUCUCACCAGCCACCCUCACCCCCGGCGGAGCAGAGUCCCCGAGAGAAUCGCAGACCACGGAGGUCCCUCCUCUUCUGCUAGGCCACGAACCAAAAAAGGCCAACGGAGAGGAGAAUGGGUUAAAUCCUGGGACGCAGGGGAGAGUCAGGGGAGGAGAGAAGUCGGGGGGAGAUAAAGAAAAAGACAGGAACCAAGAAGCGUGGGGGUGGUUUGCCGUAAUGUGAGUGUUUCUUAAUUAGAGAACGGCUGACAAUAGAGGGGCUGGCAGAGGCUCCUGGCCGCGGUGCCGAGCGUCUGGAGCGGAGCACGCGCUGUCAGCUGCGCCGUAAGAAAGACAGAACUAAGCACUGUGGUACCAAGAUUUGAGGCCUCUCUACAUCCCAUUUCCUGUUUCAGUCCCGCUUCCAAAACCAAGAGAGAAACAGAAGAGGUUUUGGCUGCCUAGUCUGCAGGAAGUCAGGCCCAUGAGGCAAGUUCAUGCCGUUCUCCAGGGAAACCAGAAAAUUCCUCCAAAGACAUGAAACAAAAGAUGCUCUCCAAUACAAGCGUUUGGUUUUGUUUUUAGCUUUAACAAUUCUGUUAAAAGUGUUAGUCGUUCAGUCCUGUCCAACUCCUUGGGACCCCACAACUGUAGUCCACCCCGGGCUCCUCUAUGCAUGGAAUUCACCAGGCAAGAACACUAGAGUGGGUUGCCGUGCCCCCCUCCAGAGUACCGUUCUGAUCCCGGGAUCGAACCUGGGUCUCCCACGUUGCAGGCCCGUUCUUUACCAUCUCAGCCACCAGGGAAGCCCCACUGAAGAGUUAAGUGAUCUAAUAAAGGAAAUAGUGUUCUGAUGCGGGGUUCACCAGGCCCAGCUACUGUCAGGAUGAGGCUGGAAGGUGUGAGCUAGGUCUUCGGUGACUGUCUUGGGAAGACAGCAGAUGUAGUCGUUCUUAAGAGCCACUAGCCACCUAUUUGUCUCUUUCAGAGGCCUUUCCUCACGAUCCUUGUUGCCUUCCUGCCCCUACAAACACUUGGCCUUGGAAUGUUGGUAUGGGAAGGACUAGGACUGGGAGGGGUCCUUAGUAGGCAUCAUUUUUGGUCUUUGUGUCUUAAAUGCCACAAAAGUAAGAGAGAUCUGAAAACAUAGGGCUACCUGUUGACCAGGAAGGUAGAAGUUCAGUUCCUAACAAAAAUAUACAGGAUUUCUUUUCUUAAAAUUUCUUAUAACCCAAAAGACAUUGAUUUGGUAGGUCAAAGAAUAACUCCAGGAAGCUUCCUACAGCAUUCCCAGCUGAAUCUGAUCCAAAUGGAGGCAAGGACCACACCAUGAAG